CCCUUUUCCUGGGGUCCGUAUGUUCACACACUUUAAGACGCUAAAUCUCAAAUGGGAGAUCUGGGUUGAGGUUAAUGUUUAUUUAGAUGGUCAGCAAAUGGAGUCAGUUUGAAAGGUAAUAAAAACUCUGUCUCUGUUCUCCGAAUCGACCAAUCGUGAAGAGUCAGAGGUUUAGUCAACCUCCGGUCGGGUCAUUUAGGUAACCUGAAAGUGCAAACAAGUCUGGAAAGAUUUAUAUCCUGUUUCCUGGGACCAGAUAAGGAAACUUUCCUGUGAGGAAUGUGUG